UCCGAGUUGACCCCGGCAGUCUCCUAUGAGUCCCCACCAUCACGUGCUGGCAACAUAGAACGAGGGUUGCGCUCGUUGCGGGACUUAACCCAACAUCUCACGACACGAGCUGACGACAACCAUGCACCACCUGUGCACGACCCAAUAAAGGACCUGCCAUCUCUGACAGAUUUCCGUGCAUGUCAAGCCUAGGUAAGGUUCUUCGCGUUGCAUCGAAUUAAGCAACAUGCUCCGCCGCUUGUGCGGGCCCCCGUCAAUUCCUUUGAGUUUUAGCCUUGCGGCCGUACUCCCCAGGCGGGGCGCUUAAUGCGUUAGCUGCGGCACGGAGACCGUGGAAUGGCCCCCACACCUAGCGCCCAACGUUUACGGCGUGGACUAC
rnacentral:misc_RNA from 1 species